rnacentral:rRNA from 1 species
CCUACGGGGGGCAGCAGUGGGGAAUAUUGGGCAAUGGGCGCAAGCCUGACCCAGCAACGCCGCGUGAAGGAAGAAGGCUUUCGGGUUGUAAACUUCUUUUAUUGAGGACGAAACAAAUGACGGUACUCAAUGAAUAAGCCACGGCUAACUACGUGCCAGCAGCCGCGGUAAUACGUAGGUGGCAAGCGUUAUCCGGAUUUACUGGGUGUAAAGGGCGUGUAGGCGGGACUGCAAGUCAGAUGUGAAACCCAUGGGCUCAACCCAUGGCCUGCAUUUGAAACUGUAGUUCUUGAGUGAUGGAGAGGCAGGCGGAAUUCCGUGUGUAGCGGUGAAAUGCGUAGAUAUACGGAGGAACACCGAUUGCGAAGGCAGCAUGCCGGCUCCACACUGACGCUGAGGCACGAAAGCGUGGGUAUCGAACAGGAUUAGAUACCCUUGUAGUC